CAAUACUAAAUAAAUAAUUUGAUAUAAGACAUUCAUAAUGGUAAUGCUGUACAUGACCACAGGUUAAAAAGGAUAACACAAAAUCCCUGAAAUGCAGUUAGUUUAGUGUUUAGUUAAAUUGGUUUGAUAUCUGAUAUGAUAUUUGUUGCUGUUGGGCUUCCUGUGGCCUGAGUCUGCGUUUGGUAAGCAGAUUGUUAAUUAGACUAGCAGCCAUUUUGUUUAGCUUGCUUAAUUGUAUGUAAGCAUGUUUUUAUGUUGUUAGCCUUACUAACUAUGAUAACUACGACAACUAUUGCUUGAAGGGUUGCUUGAGAAAGUCACAACUCCAGGGAUAAUGCAAGGCAGCAAUGCUUUUAGAGCUCAUCUUAAUACAUAGUUGUAUAGUGCUUACCUGUCAUACAACUCAAUAAGAGCAUAUUUGGAAACUGAAUUCCUGUGAAAUAGGGGUGCGAAAGCCAACUGCCCUGUGUAGAUGUAUUGUGAGUUGUUGCGCCUCACCCCCAUCCUGAACAUCUGCAGUGCCAUGAGGUAUCUCCAUGUAGUUGAGAACAUAUAACGAUAUGUUGGAUCCCACCAGGCGUAAGCAGGAAUCCAUUCGUAAAGGAAGUGAUUCACCGACAUAAUACCUCCUGUCUGCAUCUGUGCCUUUACAUAGGGAACCAACAACUCGCUGAGAAUACCAAUAUGGGCCACCUUCAUGAUAGACAUAGUCUUGUGAUGGUCUGACCCUUUUUUGGCAAACUUCUGAGCAGCCUCAGACAUAAAGCCCAGUUCAUGAGCAAGAGAAGACAUGUACACAUCCCACUGGACAGACAUGAUGCACCGUGCCAUGUUCAUCUCCAUGUGAAGCUUCCCAAUUCUAAUAAAGGCCCAGUCAAAUUCCUUAAUGAAAUUUACUGUCUCUCCAAUAUGUUUCUCCAAGAAGUGUGAUUGAGUCUCGGAAGCCAAUAACUCAACCCCACAUGCAGAGCAAAGACGAACAGACUGGACAACAUCCCUGGAGACCAGAUACGGAAGACCAUCCAUUGUAAUGGACAGCCACUCUCGUGCAUUUGGGUCAUUUGGAUGGUACCGUUUUAUCCUUGCAGCGGAGCCGACUUUCCUUAGAACUAUUUUCACCGACUCAAAUGAAUUUGGGUUGACAAACACUGGGUCUGCAGCUGCUACAGUGGGUGGAUUGUCUGGAUGGUUGCUCGAUAUGUGGGACCACUCAUCGUAGACUUCAGACAGCUGGUCUUCCUGGUAGACAGUUGCUGUGUUGCUGACCUCGUCUACCCUGAAGCCUAGAUGGACCUCCUUCACGCGAUGAUCAUACUGCCGUGUUGGUGCAACCAGUGCUGUCCCCAAUAUGGAGCUUCCAUUCAGUUCCUUCUCUACUUCCUUUAGAUUUGCACCACACUGCACACACUUUCUCUUCUUCUUGUCCAUCAUGGUUUCACAUAAUGGACAAACUCUUUUUCCUUCCCUCACCCUUAUUUCUUCAACCCUCUGGUCAAUGUCAUCCCUUGGAACACCAUUAAUGAUGGUAUGCUCCUUGGCAAUCUUGUAAAGGAGAUCCUGGAUGAGGUUUUUAUUCUAAAA